CAGCCAUAUUACGUUGAUACACCAGUUUCCAUACGAUCACAGAAGUUAAGCAAUGUCGAGAAUGGUCACUACUUAGAUGAGUAAACACUUGGGAAUAUCACGUGCUGUAAG